UUGAACGCUGGCGGCAUGCCUUACACAUGCAAGUCGAACGGCAGCACGGGUGCUUGCACCUGGUGGCGAGUGGCGAACGGGUGAGUAAUACAUCGGAACAUGUCCUGUAGUGGGGGAUAGCCCGGCGAAAGCCGGAUUAAUACCGCAUACGAUCUACGGAUGAAAGCGGGGGACCUUCGGGCCUCGCGCUAUAGGGUUGGCCGAUGGCUGAUUAGCUAGUUGGUGGGGUAAAGGCCUACCAAGGCGACGAUCAGUAGCUGGUCUGAGAGGACGACCAGCCACACUGGGACUGAGACACGGCCCAGACUCCUACGGGAGGCAGCAGUGGGGAAUUUUGGACAAUGGGCGAAAGCCUGAUCCAGCAAUGCCGCGUGUGUGAAGAAGGCCUUCGGGUUGUAAAGCACUUUUGUCCGGAAAGAAAUCCUUGGCUCUAAUACAGUCGGGGGAUGACGGUACCGGAAGAAUAAGCACCGGCUAACUACGUGCCAGCAGCCGCGGUAAUACGUAGGGUGCGAGCGUUAAUCGGAAUUACUGGGCGUAAAGCGUGCGCAGGCGGUUUGCUAAGACCGAUGUGAAAUCCCCGGGCUCAACCUGGGAACUGCAUUGGUGACUGGCAGGCUAGAGUAUGGCAGAGGGGGGUAGAAUUCCACGUGUAGCAGUGAAAUGCGUAGAGAUGUGGAGGAAUACCGAUGGCGAAGGCAGCCCCCUGGGCCAAUACUGACGCUCAUGCACGAAAGCGUGGGGGAGCAAACAGGAUUAGAUACCCUGGUAGUCCACGCCCUAAACGAUGUCAACUAGUUGUUGGGGAUUCAUUUCCUUAGUAACGUAGCUAACGCGUGAAGUUGACCGCCUGGGGAGUACGGUCGCAAGAUUAAAACUCAAAGGAAUUGACGGGGACCCGCACAAGCGGUGGAUGAUGUGGAUUAAUUCGAUGCAACGCGAAAAACCUUACCUACCCUUGACAUGGUCGGAAUCCCGCUGAGAGGUGGGAGUGCUCGAAAGAGAACCGGCGCACAGGUGCUGCAUGGCUGUCGUCAGCUCGUGUCGUGAGAUGUUGGGUUAAGUCCCGCAACGAGCGCAACCCUUGUCCUUAGUUGCUACGCAAGAGCACUCUAAGGAGACUGCCGGUGACAAACCGGAGGAAGGUGGGGAUGACGUCAAGUCCUCAUGGCCCUUAUGGGUAGGGCUUCACACGUCAUACAAUGGUCGGAACAGAGGGUUGCCAACCCGCGAGGGGGAGCUAAUCCCAGAAAACCGAUCGUAGUCCGGAUUGCACUCUGCAACUCGAGUGCAUGAAGCUGGAAUCGCUAGUAAUCGCGGAUCAGCAUGCCGCGGUGAAUACGUUCCCGGGUCUUGUACACACCGC
rnacentral:rRNA from 1 species